rnacentral:tRNA from 1 species
AUUAGAAUGGCAGAUCAGUGCACAGGAUUUAAGCUUCUGUUAGGGAAUGU